AGCGUUGUUCGGAAUUACUGGGCGUAAAGCGCACGUAGGCGGAUAUUUAAGUCAGGGGUGAAAUCCCGCGGCUCAACUGCGGAACUGCCUUUGAUACUGGGUAUCUUGAGUAUGGAAGAGGUAAGUGGAAUUCCGAGUGUAG
rnacentral:rRNA from 1 species